rnacentral:rRNA from 1 species
UACGAAGGGAGCUAGCGUUGUUCGGAAUCACUGGGCGUAAAGCGCACGUAGGCGGAUGUGUCAGUCAGGGGUGAAAUCCCGGAGCUCAACUUCGGAACUGCCUUUGAUACAGCACGUCUUGAGUCCGAUAGAGGUGGGUGGAAUUCCUAGUGUAGAGGUGAAAUUCGUAGAUAUUCGGAAGAACACCGGUGGCGAAGGCGGCUCACUGGCUCAUUACUGACGCUCAGGCGCGAUAGCGUGGGGAUCAAACAGG